CCAAUAGCGUAUAUUAAAGUUGUUACAGUUAAAAAGCUCGUAGUUGAAUUUUGGGAUCAAUGGGUUGGUCAUGCCCUCGGUAUGUACUGAUUUCAUUGGUUCUCACUUUCUAAGGAACCAUGAUGUCAUUCGUUUGAUGUUGUGGGGAAUUAGGACUGUUACCUUGAAAAAAUUAGAGUGUUUAAAGCAGGCUAACGUUUGAAUACAUUAGCAUGGAAUAAUGAAAUAGGACAUCCGAUUCUAUUUUGUUGGUUUUUAGGAUCGAUGUAAUGAUUAAUAGGGAUAGUUGGAGGCAUUAGUAUUCAAUUGUCAGAGGUGAAAUUCUUGGAUUUAUUGAAGACUAACUACUGCGAAAGCAUUUGCCAAGGAUGUUUUCAUUAAUCAAGAACGAAAGUUAGAGGAUCGAAGACGAUCAGAUACCGUCGUAGUCUUAACCAUAAACUAUGCCAACUAGGGAUCGGAUGAUGCUUAUUUUUUAAUUACUCAUUCGGCACCUUACG
rnacentral:rRNA from 1 species